CAGCUUCGUGUUCUUGUCUGCCUCGGAAACUGGCUGGAUUCCGUCCCUAAAGAACACCUUGAAUUUGCCACUCUUUCCAAACCACCCACUGAUGAUUCCUUCUUCACCGCGAUCCGUGAAUACUUUCAUGCCUUGGAACAUAGACAGGUCGGUUUCCCUUUUGAACAUUCCUUUGCAGAUUGCAGAUUUGUCAUCCUGUAGCCGUUCUAUCACACCUUCCCUCCUUUUUAGUUUGAAAACUUUGAUGCACCUCAUUGCGCUUGUGUCUUGAUCAAAGGCGAAUGGCCGUAAGAUCUGGCCAUAGAAUGCUAAGCGGCAUGCGUUCUUCUGAAUAUCCGUGUCUAAACGCGAAGCAAUAUAUAAGCCCCCGGGAGGACAAACAACGGGGCGAUCAAAGAAAAGGAGUGCCCAGGUGGCAUUUUGAAGUGUCCUUUUAUUGCUCGCGACACUUACAGGUUUUAUAGAGGUGUCUACGAUUUCUUCCGAGUUUUGUUCAUGCAUGCCAGCAGCGUAUAACAGCUCUUCAUAAUAUGAGUAUUCCUUUUGUCCGUCAAACUCAGUGAAAAUUUGGUCCGAGGGUUGUCGUGGGAGGGACGACUUCCAGGAAUGCUGAAGAGACGUGUUUAUCGUGUCGCGGUCCAUCAUUCCAGGAGAGGCCGAAGAAUCCUCUCGCGCGGCACCCGCUUCUGAAAUAUUGCCAAAAAACUC
rnacentral:lncRNA from 1 species